GUUACAUACAAAAAUAUACAAGUGGAGUAUAAUUGGCAUGAUAUGUAGCUGAUAAGAUGAACUUAUACGUCCAACAACAGUUUAAUAGAAUAUUAGUAAGUUCACGAAUAUUAACAGAAUUUUCCUUUUAUUAGCAUCUACCAAAUAUAUCGACGCAUUAUAAAGUUCCUGUUUGAAACAAAAAUACCUUGACUUGAAAUAUAAUAUUUUAUCCAAAACGCAUACAAAACCCUUGUUUUUAUUCUAUUAUCACUGGUGAGGUUUUGUAGACAGUACGUGCUUCUAGAGUUUAUGAACAUUACGCCAACAUACAUUUUUGCUAGUAAAAAUUAAACUACAUUAUACGUUUUGUAGAUUCCACAGCUUUAUUGUAUGAUUGUUUCUGAUUCUGUUGCAUGAAAGAAAAUGGCUUAUUAUGUUGAUUACCUCGUCACAAACUUUUGCCUACCAUUCAAAUUUAUAUGACACAAAAUUAAAGUUUUGACGGAACAAACACAAGAUUGGUGUGACUUUAAACACGUACUUUACAGUAUAAUUAUUCUUUCGUAAGAUAUAUACUUAUACGUUUUCAUUGAGAUAUGAGAAUGCAAGUGAACGCUUGAAUAGUAUAUAAGGUGAAAAAAGGUAGUUUAAUUAAGUCAGAUUACUACACGAAGUCUCAUAUAUAAUGUCGGUUAUAACAAUAUGAUGAUUUACCCAAUGGAAGGUAUGUCUCGUUUAAUAAUGUACAAAAUUAUAUUUUAUCAUUUUGUUACAACAUGUACAAUACAACGUAUCAAUAAAUAAUCACUCUCAUUGAAAAAAAAAUGUACAAUAAAACUUGAUAUCAAAAAUGAUUGAAAGUUGAUGUUUUGGAGAAUAUAAGUUUUGAUUUUUGUUUAAAUGAACUCGUAUUGAAAGGCGUAUUCAUAUAUGUCAAUUUGUGGUACAUUGUAGAAACCUUAAAAAACAUGCUACCUCAGACAUUGUGUCAAUGACUUCAUCUUAAAGAAUACAUUCCAUAUUCGUGAUUAUUUUUCAAUUUAACAUUUAACAAUAAUAAUACUACAUUUACAAAAAAACAAUCAAUGACUUUAUUAUAACUAUACCAGACCUGAUAUAAUUUGUUUUGUUACAUUUUAGAACACUUUUGUUUCCUGGCUAAAGUAAUACUACAUUUACAAAAAACAAUCAAUGACUUUACUAUAACUAUACCAGACCUGAUAUAAUUUGUUUUGUUACAUUUUAGAACACUUUUGUUUCCUGGCUAAAGUAAUACUACAUUUACAAAAAAACAAUCAAUGACUUUACUAUAACUAUACCAAGACCUGAUAUAAUUUGUUUUGUUACAUUUUAGAACAUUUUUGUUUCCUGGUUAAAGGAAAUGAGAUGCAGGUAAGUUUCUACGUAACAAAUAAAUCAUAAAUUAGUGUAUGACAAGAGUACUUCCCUAUUUUAAAUGGGUCGGGUUUCUUGGAAAUAUUUACGUGUGCAUUUUUUUUUAUUAAUGAGAUAACAGGUAUGUCUUCAUUUAUUAUGUACUUAAUAUAAAGUUAUAGGGCAAGCGUAAGCAGAAUAUUUAUUUCAAAACGCAACAUAUAUUUGUCAUACUGCAGGUAUCAUGAAACAUCAUCACAUGCACGUGUUUACAUAUAACUUAUCCAUCCAUAAAGAAGGAAACCGAGAGAUUAUUAUUGGAUGGCUACGAAACACUUUCACCCCGUUAAAAGUAAACAUUUUUUUCAUAUGCACAAAACUAGUAUAUGCCUUCAUACAUUAUUCUCAGAACUCUUCAAUUCGAUGUGCAGGUAGCAUCCGUAUUCUGUCAUCGUUUGUAUUUAGAAUGUUUGACUUACAAGGGAAUCAACUUCUAGUUCAUAAAAUUAUAUUUUUUUUCAUCUCAGCAACAUAUCAGUUCUGUUCGUACCUGAUGGUGACAACAAAAUCUAACAUGUUUUUAGUAAUACUGAUCUUAACAACUUAUCAAUUGACUGCCACAGCUCAACGUGAGUAAAGAUUUGCAUUCUAAUUUUUUCAGACUAUGUGUAAUAUGUAUUACCCUUACUUUUCAUUUUCUAUUUUCAUAUUCAAUAUUAAUGUAUGACACCUCUGCCAUCGCUCCACUAAACAAGUAAUCGAAAAGCUUUAUUGAAUCUAAUCGGAAUGCAUAUUUAAUUACAUCAACAAAACAAUGUAUUGGGUUAGAUACAUAUAUAAUAUAUUUUAAAGAUUAUUUAUCUUUUCUUAAUUUGAUUUGUAUUUCUUAAUAGAUAAUCUUACACCAUAUGGAAUAGCUACGCAGAGUUCUAAUUUUGAAGAAAGCUUACCCCAAAAUGCUAUAGAGCCACCUAUAUCAAAUGCAUUUAGUAAGACUUUGUUCUCACACCAGACGUGGUAGUGAACCAGCUUGGUGGAUAAUUCAUUUUUCAUUCGGAC
rnacentral:lncRNA from 1 species